CGCGGUACUACGGAGGGUGCAAGCGUUAUCCGGACUUAUUGGGUUUAAGGGUCCGUAGCGGGUUAUUAAGUCAGUGGUGAAAUCUCAUAGCUCAACUAUGAAACUGCCAUUGAUACUGAUAGUCUUGAGUAUAUUUGAAGUACUGGAAUAAGUAUGUACGGUGAAAUGCAUAGAUAUUACUUAGAACACCAAUAGCGAAGGCAGGUUACUAAGAUAUUACUGACGCUGAGGGACGAAGCGUAGGAGCGAACAGGAUUAAUACCCUGGUAGUCAAGGGCG
rnacentral:rRNA from 1 species